rnacentral:rRNA from 1 species
UUGGCCUACGGGACGCAGCAGUGGGGAAUAUUGCACAAUGGGCGAAAGCCUGAUGCAGCAACGCCGCGUGAAGGAAGAAGGGUUUCGGCUCGUAAACUUCUCUUAACAGGGACGAAAGAAAUGACGGUACCUGAAUAAGAAGCCCCGGCUAACUACGUACCAGCAGCCGCGGUAAUACGUAGGUGGCAAGCGUUGUCCGGAUUUACUGGGUGUAAAGGGCGUGCAGCCGGGCUGACAAGUCAGAUGUGAAAUCCCGCGGCUCAACCGCGGAACUGCAUUUGAAACUGUCAGUCUUGAGUACCGGG